UAUAUUCCCUAUUAUAAUGCUAGUUAACAGUAAUUGGAAUAAAUUCAGCAUGAGGUAUUUGUAUAUUCCCCAUUAUAAUGCUAUUUAACAGUAAUUGGAAUAAAUUCAGCAUGAGGUAUUUGUAUAUUCCCCAUUAUAAUGCUAGUUAACAGUAAUUGGAAUAAAUUCAGCAUGAGGUAUUUGUAUAUUCCCCAUUAUAAUGCUAGUUAACAGUAAUUGGAAUAAAUUCAGCAUGAGGUAUUUGUAUAUUCCCCAUUAUAAUGCUAUUUAACAGUAAUUGGAAUAAAUUCAGCAUGAGGUAUUUGUAUAUUCCCCAUUAUAAUGCUAGUUAACAGUAAUUGGAAUAAAUUCAGCAUGAGGUAUUUGUAUAUUCCCCAUUAUAAUGCUAGUUAACAGUAAUUGGAAUAAAUUCAGCAUGAGGUAUUUGUAUAUUCCCCAUUAUAAUGCUAGUUAACAGUAAUUGGAAUAAAUUCAGCAUGAGGUAUUUGUAUAUUCCCCAUUAUAAUGCUAGUUAACAGUAAUUGGAAUAAAUUCAGCAUGAGGUAUUUGUAUAUUCCCCAUUAUAAUGCUAGUUAACAGUAAUUGGAAUAAAUUCAGCAUGAGGUAUUUGUAUAUUCCCCAUUAUAAUGCUAGUUAACAAUAAUUGGAAUAAAUUCAGCAUGAGGUAUUUGUAUAUUCCCCAUUAUAAUGCUAGUUAACAGUAAUUGGAAUAAAUUCAGCAUGAGGUAUUUGUAUAUUCCCCAUUAUAAUGCUAGUUAACAGUAAUUGGAAUAAAUUCAGCAUGAGGUAUUUGUAUAUUCCCCAUUAUAAUGCUAGUUAACAGUAAUUGGAAUAAAUUCAGCAUGAGGUAUUUGUAUAUUCCCCAUUAUAAUGCUAGUUAACAGUAAUUGGAAUAAAUUCAGCAUGAGGUAUUUGUAUAUUCCCCAUUAUAAUGCUAGUUAACAGUAAUUGGAAUAAAUUCAGCAUGAGGUAUUUGUAUAUUCCCCAUUAUAAUGCUAGUUAACAGUAAUUGGAAUAAAUUCAGCAUGAGGUAUUUGUAUAUUCCCCAUUAUAAUGCUAGUUAACAGUAAUUGGAAUAAAUUCAGCAUGAGGUAUUUGUAUAUUCCCCAUUAUAAUGCUAGUUAACAGUAAUUGGAAUAAAUUCAGCAUGAGGUAUUUGUACAUGUGUAUUUCAAUACAGGAAAUGUAUUUUUCCUUAAUGAAGAAUGAACACCUAUUUAGAUAAAAAUAUUAUUAUUUAUUUUUGUUGUUGCUGAGAAAGUGCAUUUUUAAUGGCUCUUUUUGGAAAUUAUUAAGCCAAUUAUUAUUAAUGGCAUAUAAAAAGUAUGCUACAGUCAUUUGAAGAUUUCCCUUAACAUUCUUGUCCAAAAUCAUUGAAUUUCAAAUGUUUCUAAAAAAAGAUGUAAAAAAAUCUGACAGUGUCUUGAAUUGAAAUACCAAAAUAAUUUGCAUUAAUCUUUUGGCAAUAGAAUGGAAAUUUUACAGUGAGAUUAUGGAAAUGAAGAUAAUAAAAUAAUUAUUGAAAGUGUGGUCAGAAAAAAAUGCCAGACUAGCUACAAAAUUGGCUGAAUCACAACAUCCAUGAUGCUUUGAUUUUUGUGUUUUUUUCUAUUAAACAAACUGGGUAAAUUUAAUUAACGUUUACAACAUAUUCCUUUUAUAAAAGUUAGAAUAUAUGAGUUCUUUCCCCUUAUAUGGCUAAGUUGAAUUAUUUUAUUGUAUUUCUUAAAGCAGUAUAAGAUUAAACACAUAUCUUUUUUUCAUUAAGAUGAAAAGACUUACAAAUGAACUACAUUUACAUUCCACUCUUAUUUGCACAAUUCAUUAAAAAUCUAUACCGAUUGUUAUCUACUAUCUUACAAUCCAAGAUGGCGGAAUACUCCCGAUCUACCUUAAAGCGAGUGAAUUUAAAUUGACCACCGUAGAUUUGGACUCCCACUUUAAAAACAUUGAAUGCUUGAUCAGGGCAGACAUGUUGCUUAAGAACAGGCCGCAUUGGUUUUCUCCCAAUACAAAGUAUCAAAUUAAAUAAAAAUUCGGAAUUUCACAAGUUUUUAAAGGACAAUACAUAGGUCAAUAUCUGAUAAGAAAAAAUUGAAUGUUUUCUUCUUUAUUUUAUAAAAAAUAAAAAUGUCCGAAUGAAUCAUACAUUUUCAGUGUUUAUGUAUAUUUAGACAUUUAUGAUUUUGUGACAUGCUCAGAAAUACAACAUGCGAGUUGUUAGAAUCUCAAGUUGCCCACAUCAGGCUGUGAUACUGUUAAAUUUAGUAAAAGACUUCUUUUGAAUUUGACCAGGUGAUGCAUAAAUUAAGGAGAAAUUGUCCAUAUCUCUUAAUCGGACUGAUUGGUUUUUGUUUGCUAAACGUCAAGUGGCAAAUAUAUCAUGCAUAUUCAGUAUGAGAACAAAUUAACAAUGAUUUUAAAAGAUAUGAAAUUUAAAGGAGGUAGGAUAUAUCAAUUAAUUAAAAACAAUAAAAUCAAAAAGAAGAACGACAGAAAGACAACAAAACACUACACAAAAAACAAAUUCAAAUAAUAUGAAUAUAACCCCUACCAACAUGAUUUUUUUUAACAUGCAGAUUCCAAGGUAACGGCACGCAUAAAAACAAAUCCCCCUACCUGGACGCAUAUUUUGGUCAAGACGACCAGUCCGUGCUUUUACACCUGACUAGACAACUAAGAAUGAUUGCAUAUUAGGCUUGACUUUUAUCCGGGAAGGAUUCAAAACUUUCUUAUUUAGCGUAUCAAUUAUGAUUUUGCAAAUUGUCGGUCGCCUAUCAUUUUGAAUCCCAUGAUUAAAGUUAAUUGAACAGUGUUUGGUGAUACUGGCUAUUCCUAUAUUAUGACAGACCAGCUUGUUCCUAACUCAGAUUGGCUUAUGUCUUCAGUACUUAUGCGCCUACAUAUCGAAUUUAGAUAGGAAUGGCAUUACAUUAUAACUUAUGGUAAAUUCACCAAAAUCUUUAAAUUAUAGAAUGUUUAAAGAAAAUUUUGAGUUUAAGAAUGGUCUUAAUAGAAACAGGUCGGUGGAAUGUUGAAGUAUAUGUUUCUAAUGCAAUAUUAACUAUUUUGGUGUUGAAAACCAUAUUCUAGAAUGAUAAACAUUUGCAAUAAAUAAGAAAAAGCUAACGGAUGAAAAUGUAUUGCAAAGACCAAAUAUUUUGAAAUGCAAAGAAAUUAUGAGUUGAACAGGAAAGUUUAAAUAAUUAAAAAAAUGGUAGAUUUAUAUGAUUAAUAAAUAAAUCAGUUGUUUUCAAGAACAUAACAACACUUCCCCUUCUGGUUUAUAUAGUACAUAUAUGUGAGUUUUGGUAUUUACAGAUAAUUCUUGUUUAUAUUGUACAUAUAUGUGAGCUAAUGUGUUUACUGAUAAUUUUUGUAUGUAUUGUACAUAUAUGAGAUUUUUGGUGUUUACAUGUAAUUCUUGUUUAUAUUGUACAUAUAUUUGAGUUUUGGUGUUUACUUAUAAUUCUUGUAUAUAUUAUACAUGUAUGUGAGCUUUGGUGUUUACUUAUGAAUUCUUGUUUAUAUUGUACAAAUAUGUGAAAUUUGGUGUUUACUUAUAUAUUUUUGGAUAUAUUGUA